GUUGUGAAAUUAACAGUGACGAAGUGUCUUAUUACGAUUACAAAAUCUUUAAAUGAAAGCACGCAGAAAGAAUAACAUGGACUGGCAACAGUUGCGUUCAAUCCUAGACGGCCUUUUGCCGCAUUGACAGCUCAAACCGAAGCCUUAUAAUAUCAUCAAAUUAACGUAUACAUUUUGGACGAAUUCCAGUGCUACGAGCUACGAAAAGUGUCUUUCAGAAUUCCCCGGUACAUAGGAAACGAAGCGUGGUGCUAUGCGCCGCAUGCCGCGAACAUACUUUUCGAAAGAUACAAUGGCAGCUCGCGUCACUAUCAAGCGGUCAUUAAUUUAGUAGCAAGAUUAGAGGUCAAGUCGACGCUGUACUAGCCUCCUUCAAUACAGUUUUAAACUUUAAGGUCAUCAUUACCAACCUUGAUUUUACUUACAAUGAUAACAGGAGAUGGGUGAACUCAGACUGGAUAAUUUAAUUCAACAUUGACCUUGCUAACUAAUAAGGUAGCGCUUUUAGAAUCGAUCAGGAAAAUAUAAUAUAGGUAACUACUUUCCGAAGAUGAACAAAAUCGCUAACGAGGUGACCCCAAAGAGCAAAAUUUGAUCACAGCAAAGAACGUCAGGCACCUGAAGAAGCAGGAAAUUGCACACACUCCAAUCCCUUCGUCUAUCGGGAAAUGUUAUAUUGACGUUUUCUAACGCAACAAAUAGCGUAAGGUACUAUCGAACAUGUAAGCGCAACGCUUACGGUACUGAUGAACUUCUUCCCACGCGCUAAGCAGAUGUACUAUGAUAAUGAGCACGCGUCUAAGUCAAAAACCAUCAAGACUCUGCUAUUGAAUAAUUUUGGAUUCAACAUUGUCAAUUUUAUUUUGACAUUCGAUUUUCAAUUUAUUAUUCCAGUUCUUUUUGUUGACACCGGACACGUACACGACUUGUUAUCAAGAAGAUGGCGAGUAGUUUAGACUUCUUGAGCACAGCCUUUAAGGUGAUGGCCGGCACUCGCGACGCAAACGACUUACAGAACAUUAGAAUUAGAGAGCCACAGUUGGUCGAUUCGAACAAUGGACAGCUAAUGUUAAACACAAAUAAGCCGCUUAACAGACUCCGGUUACCAUUUGUUUUAAAGGUGGCUUAAAAAUAGCUUUAAAAAUAGACUCAGUUAGGUAGAAAAGGAAUGCUCACUACGGAAAUAUGUAACUUAAUGCUCACAAUAAUCCUUUCCAUGUAAACACCGAACAUGACCAUGCUGAUCUAGAAUAUAUUUUUGCUGACCAACUUUUAGAUUCGACAAUCACCAGCCCAUUAUAUAUAUGUAUCUAGUUUAAAAAUGUUAAAUCAAAUAAUGUUAUAUAUUA